rnacentral:rRNA from 1 species
UACAGAGGUGGCGAGCGUUACUCGGAUUUAUUGGGUGUAAAGGGCAGGUAGGUGGCUAGGUAAGUUGGAGGUGAAAUCCUGCGGCUUAACCGCAGAACUGCCUUCAAAACUGCCUAGCUUGAGGCUGGAAGAGGAGAACGGAAUUCCCGGUGUAAGGGUGAAAUCUGUAGAUAUCGGGAAGAACACCAGUGGCGAAAGCGGUUCUCUAGUCCAGCUCUGACACUAAGCUGCGAAAGCUCGGGGAG